CUGCUAUACAGAGAGAGAGAGAGAGAGAGACGAUGGAAAAUGGCAACCAUGGGGCUUGACUCUAGAGUGAGUCGUCAAUUAGCACAUCUCUGACGAAGUUGAGCCACCCGGAUCGCUACAAACUCCAAAUCCCGCACGAAAAAAUAGCGAUCAUGGCGAUGGCGACAUCGGAUGUCCUUGUGAUCUAGGCAGAAAAUCUCACCAGUGAUCUUAGGUCAAUCCUCUACUGGUGGUGUUAGUGUACGAAGUGGCAACUGGUUCUACUCGAUUGGUUUCCGAUUUCCAAUAGCUAAUGGCCAAGUCACUAAAUGUACAUGUACUCCUAUUGGUGAUGUUCUUCCUGGCACUGGUUUGAAGACAUAAUCCAAUCAAAGGCAUGAAUGUUGGCUGUGGACACAAAGGAGAGAGUCCAUCAGAGGUGCCUAAGGGUCACCCAGCCAUCAAUGGUGAAAGAAAGCUAGAUGAUCAGCCUACUUCGCCUAUGGAUGCAUCGGUCAUCAUUGGAUAAAUUCACAAAAGUUCCUAUGCUUGAGCCCUGAGUUCUGUCCUGUCACAAUUUUUGCUUAGGACUAGCCGGAGAAUCUGUUGGUGCAUGCAUGGUAGGACAUAUUGAUAACUAUUUUAUUCAACUCCAUGGAUGUGUUUCUUGCCCCUGUUUUAGAUCUCUCUAUGUCUUGGGCAUGUAUAUGUUAAAAUGUUCAUCCGAGAAAAAAUGACAUACUUGGAAAUUUACUUAGUUAGAUUUUCAAUUUUAGUAAUUAUUAUUUUUCAUACCAUAUCUCAAUUUUUAUGUUGCGAAAAAUUGAAAUUAUGCGGUGGUUGUGGUGUAGCCAAUCAAAGGGCAUGAAUGUUGGCUGCGGACACAAAGGAGAGAGUCCAUCAGAGGUGCCUCGUGGUCACCCAGCCAUCAAUGGUGAAAGAAAGCUAGAAGAUUAGCCUGCUCCGACUAUCGAUGCAUCGGCCAUCAUUGGAUAAAUUCACAAAAAGUUCCUAUGCUUGAGCCCUGAGUUCUCUCCUGUCACAGUUUUUGCUUAGGACUGGUCGGAGAAUCUGUUGGGGCAUACAUGGUAGGACAUAUUGAUUCAUGGUUGGCCUUCUGUGUUUGUUAAUCUUGAAAUUGGUUAUUUGCUUAUGAGGCUUGCCUGUUAUAGAUCUCAAGUUUCAUCAAAGCCUCACGUGGUUGCCCCUUCCAUUUCUUCUAGUACCUAUGAGUUAUCAAUGCAAUUAUGUAGUGAAGAGGGGCCAUUAAUUAAAUUAUUUGAUUUGUUCAGCAACUCCAGAACAGAUAUUUUGGUACAUCUCAAUUAUCUAAAAAACAAAAGAGGUUCCGAAGGAAUUUCUUCUCGUUUUUGGCAUAUUUUUUAGCUAUCCACGGAAACAUUCUGGUUGUUUCUUAGAUGAUUCAAAUGUGAAUCUAAGUUGUUUUCAUAGGUUCUGAACCUUAUGUUCAUCUGACCUUUAUAAUAUCUCCAAUUUUCGGUAGUAAGAUGUGAUGUUUGCUCAAUAUUGAUAGUACAAUCCUUUCCUCAAAGUUCAUCUCAAAUCUGAGUGAUAUAUGUUUUAUUUGAUUGCAAAAUCUGUUGAGUUUGCUUUAGAAGGUAUUGCAAUGCCUAUUAAUUGUUUCUACAACUCACUCAAGGUAAAGCUCCUGCUUCAGUCCAUCAACAUCUGAUUUAAGUUUUACAUGCUCACUUUUUCUUGAAGGCAUUUUCCCCAUUUUAUACAUGUGGCAGUGCAUGUAUAAUUAAUGCUCACUUGUUACAAAUGACCAGGUGCAUCAGGCUCGCCUAAUUCUUCUUGGGUGUCGCGCAUUAUGUUGCAUUUGGAGGUCUGAAGAUUUCAUCAAUGCACCAUGUAUAAAAUCUACUAUGAUAAUUGAAGCCAACAACUACAUGUUUGUUUGUACUGUUGCUUAUUAUUUGUCUUGAAAAUACUCUGUAUUUAUUAAGUGUAUGUUGUUUCAUAUGUUGUCAUACCGAAGCCAGUUUGUACC